rnacentral:rRNA from 1 species
GAUGAACGCUGGCGGCGUGCCUAAUACAUGCAAGUCGAGCGAAUGGAUUAAGAGCUUGCUCUUAUGAAGUUAGCGGCGGACGGGUGAGUAACACGUGGGUAACUUGCCCAUAAGACUGGGAUAACUCCGGGAAACCGGGGCUAAUACCGGAUAACAUUUUGAACCGCAUGGUUCGAAAUUGAAAGGCGGCUUCGGCUGUCACUUAUGGAUGGACCCGCGUCGCAUUAGCUAGUUGGUGAGGUAACGGCUCACCAAGGCAACGAUGCGUAGCCGACCUGGGAGGGUGAUCGGCCACACUGGGACUGAGACACGGCCCAGACUCUUACGGGAGGCAGCAGUAGGGAAUCUUCCGCAAUGGACGAAAGUCUGACGGAGCAACGCCGCGUGAGUGAUGAAGGCUUUCGGGUCGUAAAACUCUGUUGUUAGGGAAGAACAAGUGCUAGUUGAAUAAGCUGGCACCUUGACGGUACCUAACCGGAAAGCCACGGCUAACUACGUGCCAGCCGCCGCGGUAA